AGACAGUCAGCUUUUGGGAAGAACAUUUGUUAGACCUGCUGUUACGAGAGACUACUGCAGUACAUUGUUUACCUCAUUCACAAGUGAUACCAACGAAGAUCUUAAUCAUAAAUCGAGUAACAGCAAGUGACAGUGAUGAGCCGACUCUGCAAAAACCUUGUGUGAUGCAAGUAAAUGAUUUACGGAUUUGGUCCAGCAGGAUUCCUGCAUGAAUUGUCAUGGUUGUGCAGGAUGCAUACAUAUACAGAAGUCAUACACAAGCAGGGGCAUCAGGGAGAUUUCCUGCAGGACACCUGCACAGAUGGAAUUCUUUCAGGAUUCCUGUGGGACUUUUUUAUAAUUGUGAAUAUAAUGGAUGGUCCAGAAAUUUCAGAAUCAGCAGGGAAUGGUCUAGCCUCACCAUCAAGAUCUUCCAUAGAAAACUGUAGAGAACAGGGGAAGGCAUUUAUUGUUCAUGUUUUGGUUAUUUAAUGCAAAGAAUACCAUUUGUUCCUGUUUUAAGAAUAAUCAAUAGAUUGGAAAAUCUAUUUUGAAAUAAUCAAGCUGUGCUGGCAUUUCUGUGAUGCUUCUAAAUUGAUUUAGAAUUAAAUGGAAUAAAAACUUUGAUUUAGAUUUUCUCCCUUAUUGCAUUUUUUCAUUUUUCUGUGUAACUUGGAUUCUGAUAAAGAUACCUAAAUGAUUUAAACUGAUUUGUAUUCAUGAUAGUUUGUAGUUUUCAGAAAUGUAUACUGUCUGUAAAGUAAAACGUUCCCACAAGGCUAUUACUUCCCGGUUAACACUAACAGUCAACA
ensembl:lncRNA